rnacentral:rRNA from 1 species
AGUGCAUGUGGUGGAUGCCUUGGCGAUCACAGGCGAUGAAGGACGUGGCAGCCUGCGAAAAGCUGCGGGGAGCUGGCAAACGAGCAUUGAUCCGCAGAUAUCCGAAUGGGGAAACCCGGCCCGCGAGGGUCACCGCCGCCUGAAUACAUAGGGCGGAGGGAGCGAACCCGGUGAACUGAAACAUCUCAGUAGCCGGAGGAACAGAAAUCAACCGAGAUUCCGAGAGUAGUGGCGAGCGAAAUCGGAAGAGCCUGCCGUUUUUAGCCGAUGUUCUAGUGGAGCGCUCUGGAAAAAGGCGAAAAGAACCCCGGAAGGGGAGUGAAAUAGAUCCUGAAACCGCAUGCAUACAAACAGUGGGAGCCCCUGCUCAAUGAGCCUUCAACACGCGGGUUCUUUGACGCACGAGCCGCAAGGCGAGUGCGGCAAAAGACCCGAGCGAUGAAGCAGAUCCUGGCUGCGCACGACGCUACGCGUGGUGCGGGUGGAUCGAAGCUCGGCGAGGGUGACUUUCGGUUCGCGAAGCGAAGCGGAAGUCAGCACUGCUCGAGGAACCCGGAGGGUUCAUCGAGCAGGGGUGACUGCGUACCUUUUGUAUAAUGGGUCAGCGACUUACGUUCUGUAGCAAGCUUAACCGCAUAGGGUAGGCGCAGCGAAAGCGAGUCCGAACAGGGCGCUUGAGUUGCAGGGCGUAGACCCGAAACCGGAUGAUCUAGCCAUGGCCAGGCUGAAGCGGGGGUAACACCUCGUGGAGGGCCGAACCCACUCCCGUUGAAAAGGUAGGGGAUGAGCUGUGGCUAGGGGUGAAAGGCUAAACAAAUCCGGAAAUAGCUGGUUCUCUCCGAAAACUAUUGAGGUAGUGCCUCGAGUAUCACCACCGGGGGUAGAGCACUGUAAUGGUUGUGGGGAUCAUCGCGAUCUACCACGCCAUAGCAAACUCCGAAUACCGGUGAGUGCGAGCUCGGGAGACAGACGGCGGGUGCUAACGUUCGUCGUCGAGAGGGAAACAACCCAGACCGCCAGCUAAGGUCCCGAAGACACAGUUAAGUGGGAAACGAGGUGGGAAGGCACAGACAGCCAGGANGUUGGCUUAGAAGCAGCCAUCNUUNAAAGAAAGCGUAAUAGCUCACUGGUCGAGUCGUCCUGCGCGGAAGAUGUAACGGGGCUCAAACUGUGCACCGAAGCUGCGGAUUCAAGCGCUCCACUUGAGCGCGUCGAAGGCGUGCCGGCGUUCUGCCGGGACGUGAACACCCUGAAAGCCAAUGACGGGCAUGGGCGGUGAUGCGCGAGCAUUGCGGCCGGUGGUGGCUUUUGUGGAUCGGCGUGUUGAAGGGAGCGCUUGGAUGGUAGGAGAGCGUUCCGUAGGCCUGUGAAGGUGGGGUGUGAACCCUGCUGGAGGUAUCGGAAGUGCGAAUGCUGACAUGAGUAGCGAUAAACAGGGUGAAAGGCCCUGUCGCCGUAAGCCCAAGGUUUCCUGCGCCACGUGCAUCGGCGCAGGGUGAGUCGGCCCCUAAGGCGAGGACGAGAGUCGUAGCUGAUGGGAAGCGGGUCAAUAUUCCCGCACCGGCCUGCAAUGCGAUGGGGGGACGGAGAAGGUUAGCGCGGCCGGGUGUUGGACGUCCCGGUUCAAGCGUGUAGGCGUGCCGCGUAGGCAAAUCCGCGUGGCUUAGCUGAGGCGUGAUGACGAAGGCGGGCUUGCUCGCCGGAAGUGCGUGAUACCAGGCUCCCAGGAAAAGCCUCUAAGCUUCAGUUGCAGGGCGACCGUACCGCAAACCGACACAGGUGGGCGAGCUGAAUAUGCUCAGGCGCUUGAGAGAACUCUGGUGAAGGAACUCGGCAAAUUGACACCGUAACUUCGGGAUAAGGUGUGCCCUUGGUAGGUGAAGGUCCUCGCGACUGGAGCCGAAGGGGGUUGCAAAGAAUCGGUGGCUGCGACUGUUUAACAAAAACACAGCACUCUGCAAAGACGAAAGUCGACGUAUAGGGUGUGACGCCUGGCCGUAACUAUAACGGUCCUAAGGUAGCGAAAUUCCUUGUCGGGUAAGUUCCGACCUGCACGAAUGGCGUAACGAUGGCCACACUGUCUCCACCNGAGACUCAGCGAAGUUGAAGUGUUUGUGAAGAUGCAAUCUCCCCGCGGCAAGACGGAAAGACCCCGUGCACCUUUACUGUAGCUUUGCAUUGGACUGUGAUGAGGCUUGUGUAGGAUAGCUGGGAGGCUUUGAAGCGAGGGCGCCAGCUCUCGUGGAGCCAACGUUGAAAUACCAGCCUGGCGUCAUUGCGGCUCUAACCUGGAUCCAUGAUCUGGAUCGGGGACCGUGCAUGGUAGGCAGUUUGACUGGGGCGGUCUCCUCCCAAAGAGUAACGGAGGAGCUCGAAGGUUCGCUUAGCGCGGUCGGACAUCGCGCUGGACGUGCAAGGGCACAAGCGAGCUUGACUGCGAGACUGACAAGUCGAGCAGGUGCGAAAGCAGGACCUAGUGAUCCGGUGGUUCUGAAUGGAAGGGCCAUCGCUCAACGGACAAAAGGUACGCCGGGGAUCGGUCCCAAGGGUAUGGCUGUUCGCCAUUUAAAGUGGUACGUGAGCUGGGUUCAAAACGUCGUGAGACAGUUUGGUCCCUAUCUGCCGUGGGCGCUGGAGAUUUGACGGGGGCUGCUCCUAGUACGAGAGGACCGGAGUGGACGUACCGCUGGUGUACCGGUUGUGACGCCAGUCGCAUCGCCGGGUAGCUAUGUACGGAAGCGAUAACCGCUGAAAGCAUCUAAGCGGGAAACGUGCCUGAAGAUGAGAUCUCCCGGGGACUUGAUCCCCCUGAAGGGUCGUGGCAGACCACCACGUUGAUAGGCCGGGUGUGGAAGCGCGGUAACGCGUUGAGCUAACCGGUACUAAUGGCCCGUGCGGCUUGACU